rnacentral:rRNA from 1 species
UACGUAGGGUGCGAGCGUUGUCCGGAAUUAUUGGGCGUAAAGGGCUCGUAGGCGGUUUGUCGCGUCGGGAGUGAAAACCAGGUGCUUAACACCUGGCUUGCUUUCGAUACGGGCCAGACUAGAGGUAUUCAGGGGAGAACGGAAUUCCUGGUGUAGCGGUGAAAUGCGCAGAUAUCAGGAGGAACACCGGUGGCGAAGGCGGUUCUCUGGGACGGUACUGGACGCUGAGGCGCGAA